CACGUAGUUAGCCGUGGCUUUCUCGUAAGGUACCGUCAAGGUACGAGCAUUCCCUCUCGUACGUGUUCUUCCCUUACAACAGAGUUUUACGAUCCGAAAACCUUCAUCACUCACGCGGCGUUGCUCCAUCAGACUUUCGUCCAUUGUGGAAGAUUCCCUACUGCUGCCUCCCGUAGGAGUCUGGGCCGUGUCUCAGUCCCAGUGUGGCCGAUCACCCUCUCAGGUCGGCUAUGCAUCGUCGCCUUGGUGGGCCGUUACCCCACCAACUAGCUAAUGCACCGCAAGGCCAUCUCAAGGUGACGCCGGAGCGCCUUUCAUCAACGGACCAUGCGGUCCGAUGAACUAUCCGGUAUUAGCUCCGAUUUCUCGGAGUUAUCCCAAUCCUUGAGGCAGGUUCCUUACGUGUUACUCACCCGUCCGCCGCUCAUUCCACUGCCUUCCCUCCGAAGAGUUCCGUCAGUUUCCUGCGCUCGACUUGCAUGUAUUAGGCACGCCGCCAGCGUG
rnacentral:rRNA from 1 species